rnacentral:rRNA from 1 species
UACGGAAGGCAGCAGUGGGGAAUAUUGCACAAUGGGCGAAAGCCUGAUGCAGCUAUGCCGCGUGUAUGAAGAAGGCCUUAGGGUUGUAAAGUACUUUCAUCGGGGAGGAAAAAACAAAACUAAUAAUUUUAUUUCUUGACGUUACCCGAAAAAGAAGCACCGGCUAACUCCGUGCCAGCAGUCGCGGUAAUACGGAGGGUGCUAGCGUUAAUCAGAAUUACUGGGCGUAAAGAGCACGUAGGUGGUUUUUUUAAGUCAGAUGUGAAAUCCCUGGGCUUAACCUGGAAACUGCAUUUUGAAACUGAAAUACUAGAGUAUCGUAGAGGGAGGUAGAAUUCUAGGUGUAGCGGUGAAAUGCGUAGAUAUCUGGAGGAAUACCUGUGGCGAAAGCGGCCUCCUAAACGAAUACUGACACUGAGGUGCGAAAGCGUGGGGAGCAAACAGGGAUUAGAUACC